CUCAUGGCAUGAAGGUAAGGGGAUCUUAAUUACUGUACAACCGUAGGCACAUUUCUAAAAGCUUAUCCAAGCAGGAACCUUUCUGUUUCCUUUUUGUUUGUGAGUCCCUUUUUGCUCAGCAGUUUUGUAGGUCUGGUCAAUAGAGCCAGAGGACACCAGAGAUGACCUAGUGACGUAAGGUUUGUCCGUGUAAAUGUUGUCCCAGGAGAUCAGGCUGGGUACACCCCACACACCGUGCUUUGCCAAGAACCAGGAACAAUGCGCACUUUGUGCUGGGAACAUUCCAUCAUCAGACUUUGCUCAGGUUGCCCUGAGCCUCCCUCCACUCUCCAAAGGAACAGGUUCGACUCCUCCACACCACACGUGGUGCUUGUCUUGGAUGCUUUACCCGCCUGAAGGGCCUCAUCCUGGCAUCCAGUGAAUGUGAUCAAAUCUGAAAGUCCUGUCCACCUUUGCAGAAGCGGCUGCAUGGGAAGGUUUUCUUUGCAAUCUCAUCUGUGUGACCUUUUGUCCUUCCAACCAAAUCCUUCCUGACAAAGCCUUAUUUCGUGUGCUACUGAGAACUUGGGAACAAAAGAUUGUAAGCAAAAGACUGUAACGAAACAAAAAACUGGGAAGAACUUGGAAACUUGGAACAAAAGACUGUCAUUUCACAUUUUCUUCAUAGCUGAUUCUUUUCCACUGCCACUAAAAUGUGAAGCCACCUCAGCAUGAGGUGCGAAUUACAAAUGGUCAGUCAAAGAAGAGCUAUGAUUUAACAACAACACAUGGACAAAGAGCCAGCACAACUAGGCCUGUGCCAGGAACAGCUUUGUAAACAAAAUGUGACUGACUUCCCCGACAGUGAAAAAAUGUUUAUCAACUAAAAGUGGAUGUUUUGUCUAGGUUCAAUUUAUAGAACCAGGAAAGGGCUGUAUCUUCUUGUGCCUUGACGACAUUAGGAAUGCAAAGUACUUAACUUCACCGAGAUUAUCAGUUUGUGCAUGUGUCAAACAGGAUGACACAAUAACCCAAACACAUAUGUCAAGGGAUUGCAAUACACUGCAACUUCGUGGGUAAAUAAAUAAAAAUACCCUAAGUGAAACUCGAAGCCAGAAUAGCGACCCUCCAUCAGAUUGAGAAGG